rnacentral:ncRNA from 2 species
GGUCAUGAGUGCCAGCGCACAGCCCCGGCUUGCUGGCCGGCAACCCUCCGCUCGCGGGCGGGGUGCUCCGGGUGACGACCUGGCCGCGCAUACCUGCCCGGCAAGCCGCCGGC